rnacentral:rRNA from 1 species
AAUGAACGUUGGCGGCGUGGAUUAGGCAUGCAAGUCGUGCGAGAACCGUAGCAAUACGGGGACAGCGGCGAAAGGGAGAGGAAUACGCGGGUACCUACCCUCGGAUCUGGGAUAGCUACGGGAAACUGUAGGUAAUACCAGAUAACGUCUCCGGACCAAAGGUGUGAUUCCGUCCGGGGAGGGGCCCACGUCCUAUUAGCUUGUUGGCGAGGUAACGGCUCACCAAGGCAAAGAUGGGUAUGGGAUGUGAGAGCAUGAUCCCACUCACUGGGACUGAGACACUGCCCAGACACCUACGGGUGGCUGCAGUCGAGAAUCUUCGGCAAUGGGGGCAACCCUGACCGAGCGACGCCGCGUGCGAGAUGAAGGCCUUCGGGUUGUAAAUCGCUGUCAGUGGGGAGGAAAUGCUGGUGGGUUCUCCCAUCAGUUUGACCUAUCCGCAGAGGAAGGACGGGCUAAGUUCGUGCCAGCAGCCGCCGUAAUAC